rnacentral:rRNA from 1 species
UACGUAGGGUGCGAGCGUUGUCCGGAAUUAUUGGGCGUAAAGGGCUCGUAGGCGGUCUGUCGCGUCGGGAGUGAAAACUCAGGGCUUAACCCUGAGCCUGCUUCCGAUACGGGCAGACUAGAGGUAUGCAGGGGAGAACGGAAUUCCUGGUGUAGCGGUGGAAUGCGUAGAUAUCCGGAGGAACACCAGCGGCGAAGGCGGCAUCCUGGACUGGUCCUGACACUCAGGAGCGAAAGCGUGGGGAGCGAUCCGG